ensembl:lncRNA
UCUUACUCCAGAAGUGUUGUUUACACAGUGAAAGCUAAUAUACUGCUUUUUGAGGGAGGUCGAUUAUACUCAGAAACAUAAUCUGGGCACUGCUUCGAGCGCCCACCCCCAAGUUCUGAUUUCUAUGCUCUUCCUUUGCCUUGGGGGGCCUUGCAACGAUGGGCCUACGCUUGCCCAGCCUGAAGAGUGAUGUCCCAUAGCACCUGCUGGUUCUUCAAGCAACUCUUCUCUGUCCACAAAACAAUCAGGACAAGCCACUCACCCUCAGCUCUAAGAAGAAUUGGGGGCAGGGAAAGGGGGGGGGGGGGUACUGAGCCCAAGCUAUCAGAUUCUAUUUCGCUCUCUCUCUCUCUCACUCCCUUGCUCCCUAUCUCUGUCUCCUCCCCCAAGUGUUUUCUAUAAUUUGCUUUCUAGAGCCCUGUCAUAGCUGGUCUCGUCGGUGUUGCACACUUUGCAUGAUGUGUGGUUGACAGGGAGCCUGGUUCCAAGCCGUCUUAGUCUUAAAGAGUCAGUCACUUCUCCAUGGUGUGGUAUUCCCGUCCUCUCAGAUCCAAGGUGACCACAGCCAUUAGUUCCAUUGCCGUGUAACUACUUCUGGCUUUACUUCUGGCUUUACUUCUGGCUUUACUUUACGGGUGGUGAUAGUGAGGAAAGGCAGUGGCAGAGUUCCACAAGUUGACUGCAUUUAUUCUACAACAUGUUUCGCAGAUCCAUUAAAUCCAGGUUAGCAAAUUCACUCAAGACAUUCUCACCUGUCUGCAGCAAAACUCGAUCCGAGGUUUUCCUUUCAGAAAGUAGAGAAAGGGUAAAGGAUAAUGAUUCCUUUUUUAUUUCAUGAUAAUUUCGGCAAAAGAUGUGAAGUAAACAAAAAUUGGACCCGAGUGAGGAUUCCAUUUUACCAUUUGACACAGCAUAUGUAGUCAAAACAAUCAUGAUAAUUACUUCACCUGAAAGAUUCUUUAAUCCAAAGCUCUUUACAUGUUACUAACCCCAUUAACACCUCGGGGAGGUUAAGCAAUUUUCCCAACGUUACAGACACGUUGUCCCACCUGAGUUAAGAGUCCUCUGAUCCCAAUUCCCAAUCCUCAGCCUCCUUGCCACUCUGAAGCCCCCAGUAGCUUCUCCACACGACUGUUAACUGGCAGGGGGGGUCUGGUCUGCUCUCUGAACGACAGACUCCCUUGCCUUUUAAUGAAGUGCCAAAUAAUAAACUACUCCACAAUGCUGCCAGGAACGAAGGAACGAAAGGAAGAGAGAAAUGGUAAACACAUUACCUCUUGUUUGAAGUCUCGAUAACACUGACACUUGUGCAUUACGAUACAUUUCUAGACAACAAGAAAAAUCCCAUUCACAGGCAGUGGUAGCAAGGAGUCCAGUUAAAUUAGACCAAAAACACGUUUCAAGCAGACAUGCUGUCAGCUCAGUAAAUAUACCACCAUGUUCAGCCUACCAAUAGUGCUACUCUUCUCUGACUGUUUAGUGUGAGGCUGUUUCGACCCUUUGACCGAGAUCUUUGAUUGAUGGAAUGUGCUACGCCUUUCCAUCAUACUGGAAUAUAUUACUGUUUGGUUCAGAUUUUUUGUUUCUGGUUUCAUUUCUUUUUUCUCAGGGUGCUGUGAUAGAAGCUUGUGCCAGAGCAGUCUCUAUUUUGCACAUUUAUUUAAGAAACACAAACAUUUAUAUAUGAUAAGCAUAUUGACGUAUACUGUAUCUUUACUCUCCCUGCCUAUGUAUAACACCACUAUAGCCAUGUAUCCAGAUUCAGUCCUUGCCUAUGUCAUUAUGGUUCUUUACGCCUCUGUUAGGUACAGUUGCCUUUUUAGCUUGCGCUUCCACAGCACAGGUGGUCAUGGCUUUGAUCAUGAUGUUCAUCAAAUCCCAUGGCUCAUUUCUCUCAGAUGGGCCUCCCCAUAGGCUGGCAGGGGCCACUCACAGGCUGAGCUUAUUGUCAAAUUGGCUUAGAUUGGAACCACACCCCCCUCUACAACUUUAAACCCCCUGAUGAUUUAUGUAACAUGCAUACAAUUGGGACAUACAAUUGGGACAUUUAGAGCAGAUGCCAUCCAAUCAGCAUCCAGUUUGCUAUUAGAUAUGGAGGGAUGGGGGAAAUCUGUUUUUCGGUUGGUCUCUUAAUCCAAAUCUGGUUUCAACUACAGUAAGAAUGGCUUUCACUACUAGACUGUUACCAAUCACCCCACAAUUCUUUUUACAUGUGGCCAAGAGAGGAAAUUGUAAGGUUGUUUUUUUAACCUGCUUGGUUUCAACCAAGAUUUCCAAUAUGUUAUCUUUCCCCCAUUACUGUUUCUCACCCAGAGAUUAGAAUUGAAAAGCAGUUUCCCGGCACCUCUGCCUCCCAGCAUGAGACGUUCUUAAUAAGAGAGCAUCUCAAAUCACAGUGGAAACUCACGCAGCCAAGCUCACCUUGAUUAAAAAUGUAUUCAAUCUUAAGGGCACUGUGAAAUCAUCAUUUCAGUCACACCAUGAUUAUUUCAUACCCUCUCAGACAGAGCAUUUAUUAAUGCUCCUUCUAAAUAAGACAGCUUUUUCUCAGUGUCUUUACUCACAUGUUAUUAUGGGGGGAGGUAGCUAGUAGGGAGAUAGGAGCUGGGGAUGGGCAUUAACCACAAGAGUUGGGCUGGAUUGGCUCAAAAUAAUAGGUUUAAAAUCACUAUUUUCCGGUCUGAGAAGCUAGUGAUAAGGAAGCAGAGCAAUGUCUGUAUCCGCACUGCUCUUCAUGAAUGUAUCCCCACCAUCUGCACCAGCCGAGCCGCCCCUCCAUAUGCAGACCCAAUGUUUAUGUAUGGAGUACAAUUUGAGUCUUGGUCUCCCCAAAUCACUGCUAGUCCACCCUGGUUGGUUAUCAGUUGGAUCCAAACUUCCAAAGCCAAAUAUCAAUCACCUGGCUUUGCUCCAAGACUACUUUGUACGGGCAAGCCAGGCUGCACUUUUGCAAUUCCAUUAUGCUGCUGGUAAAAGAAAAACUGAAAACCCUUGGUAUAAAAUGGCUCUCCAGUGUUUUGUGACAAUUUUUGGUCGUCUGAUUCUUGUCUAGCUGGUUGUCCAAAGCGUACUUUUUUUUAAAAAUACAGUGUGGAAUACAGCUGUAUGUUUUGUGGCUGUAAACAAUAAUAGAGCAUUUUGUCUGCAGUGCAAUAUGUCGUAGACAGGUGAGAGCUUCACGCAUUCUUCUCCCAUAAAACAUGCCCCACAGGCCUCCAUUUUAGGUUCAUGGAGCUUGUGGUGUAGAAGGACAAGCGCACCCAGGCUCAAACUGAAAUGGGAAACCAAUACAUUUUCCUUCAUGGUCUUUUCCAGCAAAGCUCAUGCAAGAGAAACGAUUCCCAUCCUCUCAUCUAGUUUCCUCUCAAUCAUUUUAUUUGUGACAUCACAAGGCCCAAGUAAUGUUCCUAUGCACAUGUUAGCAUGUUUUCACUGGUUUGUUUGUUUGUUCCGAGAAGAACGUACCAUGUUUGUGCUCAGCUCAUUUUCCACUUUUAGAAAUGUUCACUUGGCUGGGAGUGUGUAUGGAGUAGGAAGCAGUGGAGGGACGCAUGUGUAUGAAUGGUGGAGAAAGGAGUCUAGCAGCUAGCAAGCUAGUGAUGAAAACUGCAGCUUAGCCAUGGGUCACUGUCUCGCUCUAGCUGUAGGCAGUCCCCACAAAGAGUCAAUCAAAACCACUAGGUUUUUAAUCUUUGAUGUCGCUGUCACUUUCUCUCAGCUCUUGACAAGCUACAGUAAAACCCCUUUUCCAAACGUAACACGGUCCACCAAGAAAAACGACUUAGCUAGCAUGCAAUACAUUCCAUGGUUUUACCUUAUGCAUCUAAACCCGUCAUACAUCACACACACAGAGUGGGGGUAUCUGCAGGAUCAAGUGGCUAAGAUUCAAUCCCGAUGCAGUUGUACAAUUCCACAGGCGGGACAUUACAAAGGAUAACUAGAUUUGAACUCCCGCGGGAGAUGAAAAUUAUCUGUCAUUAUCUCGCUGCCUCAAAUGAGACCUUCAUACCCCAGGAUAGAGAGGGCCCCUCCUCCCAUUGAUUACGACAAUGUUCUCCAUCUACAUGGCAAACUGGGUCCACCAUCAAUACCAUUCAGAGUAGUUGAGGGAGCUCCAGAGUGUUUAGGCUGAAAUGCCAUUGCAACAGUGUUACUUACUAGGUCACAAGCAAACUGCAGUUAAAAAGACAAUGUAUUACACCUGAACUUCUUUACUACUGUCGAAGGUAUGUGCUCAUAUUACUCACCAGGCCAACUGUACAGUCCCUGUCUCUGUUUUGAUGUUGAACUGGGCAAAAAUUAAAUAAAUAAAUGAAGAAAACAAGUGUAUCAGAAAUGGUUGAAAUACUGUGUACAUAUUUGAACUUUUGGUUUCUAAUUUAUAAAAUAUAAGCUUUAGCUCUUGGAGUACUUAUUUUAUUUUUUUCCUUUCACGCGUAGCUUUGUGUUUUUAUUUUCUAUUUCUGUAAAGUGUGUAAAUAUAUCUUUAUGAUAAUAAGUCAUAUUAAAAAAUCUUAUUUUAAGAAUC